GUGAGUUCGGUCGCAGAGAGCGCUGGCUUCGGGAUCAAAGCGCUCUGGGUUGUCCUGUCACCAACAACUUGGAGACUGAACUAGAGACACUCAGCCCCUCAGUCAGUCUCCCACUGUGACAGGGCUCUAAGUGCCUGGACUGCAAGAAGUCACACGCACCAGGCAUCUGAGCAGACAGGGACCCCACAGCACAGCAGUACUGUAACAACAUACCUGAAGUGGGGUACUUAUGAAGAGCAGAGGUUUAUGCAACACACACUGAGAAGGCUGACAGUCCAAGAUCAGGCACCACACUGACACCACCUUUGGUACAUGUUUCCGGAGUUCCAUGUAGAAAACCUAAAGGGCUUUCAGCCUGGCCUUUUGAUCCCACAGUAGCCUAUGGAGGCAGAAGUGAGCUGGAGCUAAGCCUGCCAGUUCCCUUUGCUAAGACUUCAAGAUUUCAGAUCCUCCACCUGACUGGCAUCGCAUUUCCCUGGGGCAGCUGGUUUGAUUGGAGACCGUAAGAACCGUGUCACUCCUGUUCCGGGGUAGAGUUGCCGAAAGAGAAGGUUUUGGGAUGAGCUUACGCGUCAAAGGUGGCCGGCAGACACUUUGCAGGCUGUCUUUGCCUCGAAGCUACGGGAAACGCGGGGGAAGGGCAGCGUGGCCAGGUAGCGUGGCCAUUGUGGCCUUGUUCUCUCCCAUGCGGCAACUCCACUCUACCCAUGGCCUUGAGGACCCAGGGCCACCCCAGGCCCUGUACUGCAAACCCACAAAAGGCACAAAGAGCCAGUGAGCUUGGUGACACAGACCUGUACUCCUAUAACUGUGGAAGGCCGAGGCAGGAGGGAGCGUUGGAAGUUCAAGCUCAGCCAGGCCAACUUAGUAACCAACUCAGUGACUUAGACCAAUUGAGUGACUUAGUGUCUCUAAAUAAAUAAUAAAAAUGGGCUGCAGGUGUAGAGCAGUGUGAAGGACUUGGCUUCAAUCCCCAGGACAAAAGAAAAAGCCAAUGGACUUUGCAAAGACAUCCACCCUGGCCACCUGCCCUCCUGUGGUUUCCUUGUCCAUCCAUACCUGGGAGGUGACGACCUUUAGGACUUUACCUCUCACCCCUCCCUCAGCAGUGCAAGGCACAGUCCCCAGACACACGUGCCCCUUGUUCCAUAAAGGUUCUGCUUUCUUGCUGAGCUUGGCUGGUGCACAACCUCCAAAGACUGGAGGCCUCAGGGGCUGACGGAACCUGGAACCUGCCGCACGCUGGUUCAUGCAUCAAAAUACACAGGCUGCGUCUCCGCAGCAGACGUCUCCACAGUGAUGCCGUUGCCUCCUUCCCGUUCUCUCUCUCUCCCCCAGACAAGCCUGCUCAACUCCCUGCUGUUUUAAAAACACCUAAAAGGAAAAAAAUAAAACCUCCUUCCCUCCCACGUCAGGUUUGAAAGACACGUGGACGCUCCCACCUUCACCUU